rnacentral:rRNA from 1 species
GAUGAACGCUGGCGGCGUGCCUAAUACAUGCAAGUCGUACGGAAAGGCCCUUCGGGGUACUCGAGUGGCGGACGGCUGAGUAACGCGUGGGAACGUGCCACAAAGUGAGGGAUAACGCACCGAAAGGUGUGCUAAUACCGCAUAUGGUCUUCGGAUUAAAGCUUCGGCGCUUUGGGAGCGGCCUGCGUACGAUUAGAUAGUUGGUGAGGUAAUGGCUCACCAAGUCGACGAUCGUUAGCUGGUCUGAGAGGAUGAUCAGCCAGACUGGGACUGAGACACGGCCCAGACUCCUACGGGAGGCAGCAGUAAGGAAUCUUCCACAAUGGGGGCAACCCUGAUGGAGCAACGCCGCGUGCAGGAUGAAGGUUUUCGGAUCGUAAACUGCUUUUAUAAGUGAAGAAUAUGACGGUAACUUAUGAAUAAGGAUCGGCUAACUACGUGCCAGCAGCCGCGGUAA